rnacentral:rRNA from 1 species
GCCCUACGGGGUGCAGCAGGCGCGAAAACUUUACAAUGCUGGCAACAGCGAUAAGGGAACCUCGAGUGCCAGGUUACAAAUCUGGCUGUCGAGAUGCCUAAAAAGCAUUUCGUAGCAAGGGCCGGGCAAGACCGGUGCCAGCCGCCGCGGUAACACCGGCGGCUCGAGUGGUAACCGUUAUUAUUGGGUCUAAAGGGUCUGUAGCCGGCCGGAUAAGUCUCUUGAGAAAUCUGGCAGCUUAACUGUCAGGCUUUCAGGAGAUACUGUCUGGCUCGAGGCCGGGAGAGGUGAGAGGUACUUCAGGGGUAGGGGUGAAAUCUUGUAAUCCUUGAAGGACCACCAGUGGCGAAGGCGUCUCACCAGAACGGACCUGACGGCAAGGGACGAAAGCUAGGGGCACGAACCGGAUUAGAUGCCCGGGUAGUCCUAGCCGUAAACGAUACUCGCUAGGUGUCGGCCACGGUGCGACCGUUGUCGGUGCCGUAGGGAAGCCGUGAAGCGAGCCACCUGGGAAGUACGGCCGCAAGGCUGAAACUUAAAGGAAUUGGCGGGGGAGCACCACAACGGGUGGAGCUUGCGGUUUAAUUGGAUUCAACGCCGGAAAUCUUAC